rnacentral:rRNA from 1 species
GUACACACCGCCCGUCGCUACUACCGAUUGGAUGGUUUAGUGAGGCCUUUGGACAGCCGAGUGGGGGGUGAAAGCUCGCUACUUGGGGGGAAAUUGGACAAACUUGAUCAUCUAGAGGAAGUAAAAGUCGUAACAAGGUUUCCGUAGUGAACCUGCAGAAGGAUCA